rnacentral:rRNA from 1 species
AUGCAGAUGGGGCAGGCCGAGGCGGAGAAGGCGCCCGAGGUGGAGCUCGCCCUCCCCGCGCGGCCCGGCGCCGGCACCGUGGGCAAGAAGGUGAUGAUCCGCGCCAACCACUUCCUCCUCAACGUCGCCGACAACAACCUCUUCCGCUACGACGUUUCCAUUAAUCCACAGUCAAAAUCAGGAGCUGUGAACAGGGAGGUACUCAGUGAGCUAAUCAAGUUGCACGGGAAGACAUCCCUUGGCGGCAAAUUGCCUGCCUAUGAUGGAAGAAAGAGUCUUUACACUGCAGGCUCACUCCCAUUUGAAUCAGAGGAGUUUUCUGUUACACUGGUUGAUCCGGAAAAGAAGGACAAAGAAAGGGCUGAAAGGGAGUACAAGAUCACCAUUAGAAUUGCUGGGAGGACAGACCUGUACUACCUUCAGCAGUUUCUCAAAGGACGACAGAUGGAUAUGCCUCAAGAAACCAUCCAAAUGCUUGAUGCUGUCCUCAGGGAGUCACCAUCCUGGAACUAUGUCACAGUGUCCAGAUCCUUCUUCUCCACCACUUUUGGUCACAGGGGAGACAUUGGUGAAGGAUUAGAGUGCUGGAGAGGUUAUUACCAGGGCUUAUGCCCGACACAGAUGGGGCUGUCUCUCAACAUAGAUAUAUCCGCAACAUCCUUCUUCAAGCCUGUGACAGUGGUCCAGUUCGUGCUGGAGUUCCUCAACUUACGUGAUGCCUCACGACCUCUGACAGACAUGGACCGUGUCAAGAUAAAGAAAGCACUCCGUGGGGUGCGUGUUGAGACAAACCACCAAGAAGACAAAAUCAGAAGAUACAAGAUAACAGGGAUUACUCCUGUCCCCACGAGCCAGCUCAUAUUUCCUGUUGAUGAGAGAGGAACAAGAAUGUCAGUUGUUCAGUACUUCAUGCAAAGAUACAACUACAGUCUGAAGUACACUGCUUGGCCCUGUCUGCAGUCUGGAAGUGAUGCUCGUCCUGUAUAUCUGCCUAUGGAGGCGUGCAAGAUUGUUGAAGGGCAAAGGUACUCUAAGAAACUGAAUGACAAGCAGGUCACCAACAUACUUAGAGCUACCUGUCAUCGUCCGCAGCAGAGGGAGGAAAGCAUUCGUGAGAUGGUUCUGCACAACAAGUAUGCUAAGGACAGGUUUGCACAGGAGUUUGGAAUCAACGUCUGCAGUGACCUGGUCUCUGUUCCAGCCUGUGUGCUGCCUCCCCCCAUGUUGAGAUAUCAUGAUUCUGGAAAGGAGAAAACUUGUGCGCCAAGUGUUGGACAGUGGAACAUGAUUAACAAGAAAAUGAUCAAUGGAGGAAUCAUAGGCAACUGGGCCUGUGUGAGUUUUUCACGCAUGCGUCCUGAGGAGGUACACAGGUUCUGUUGUGAUCUGAUUCAGAUGUGCAAUAUGACUGGAAUGUCUGUCAAUCCAAGGCCACUUGUAGACAACCGAUCAGAUAGCCCCAACCACAUUGAGAAUGCUUUGAGUGAUGUGUACAGGAGAACUACGGAAAUACUUGGCAACCAGGGACAGCUACAACUGUUAAUCGUAAUCCUACCUGAAGUCAGUGGUUCUUAUGGGAAAAUCAAGAAGGUUUGCGAGAAUGACCUUGGGAUCGUGUCUCAGUGUUGCCUGCCAAGGCAUGCUGCCAGACCGAACAAGCAAUAUAUGGAGAAUGUUGCACUCAAAAUCAAUGUGAAGGUUGGAGGACGCAACACAGUUAUGGAGAGAGCUUUUGCGCGAAAUGGCAUACCGUUUGUGUCCGAUGUUCCAACAAUCAUCUUUGGUGCUGAUGUUACACCCCCACCUGGAGAGGACUCUGCAUCAUCUAUUGCUGCGGUGGUGGCAUCAAUGGACUGGCCAGAGAUCACCAAGUACAGAGGUCUUGUCUCUGCUCAACCACACAGGCAGGAGAUAAUCGAAGACCUCUUCAGUGUCAUCAAAGAUCCACAGAGGGGUAAUGUCAAUGGCGGCAUGAUCAGGGAGUUACUUAUUGCCUUCCGCAAGAAGACAGGCCGGAGGCCUGAAAGGAUUCUCUUCUACAGGGAUGGUGUAAGUGAAGGCCAAUUCAGCCAUGUUCUGCUUCAUGAAAUGGACGCAAUCAGGAAGGCCUGCGCCUCUUUGGAGGAAGGGUAUAUGCCCCCAGUCACCUUUGUGGUUGUCCAGAAAAGGCAUCACACGAGGCUGUUCCCUGAGGUCCAUGGGAGGUGUGAUAUGACUGACAAGAGUGGGAACAUACUUCCAGGAACUGUGGUGGACCUCAUGAUUUGCCACCCAAAAGUGUUUGAUUUCUACUUGUGCAGCCAUGCUGGCAUUCAGGGAACUAGCAGGUCAUCACAUUACCAUGUUCUUUAUGAUGAGAAUCACUUCACAGCCGAUGCGCUUCAGUCACUGACCAACAAUCUCUGCUACACCUAUGCUCAUUGCACUCGUGCUGUCUCUGUUGUCCAACCGGCGUACUAUGCCCAUCUUGCGGCAUUCCGUGCGCGCUACUACGUGGAAGGGAACAGCUCGGACGGCGGGUCGACCCCCGGGAGCAGCGGGCAGGCGGCGAUUGCGCUAGAGGGCCCUGUGGAGGUGCACCAGCUCUCAAAGAUCAAGGAAAAUGUCAAAUUCCCUCUUAAUUUACAGCCAGGUGGUGUACUUCGUGUACGCACCACCAAUGCUGGCAUGAUUAGGGGAAUUACUUAUUGCCUUCCGCAGGAAGACAGGCCGGAGGCCUAA